GAUGCAUCAAAAGUAACAAAAUGAAUAAUUUAUUAAAUAAUAUUUGGUGGUGGUGUUUACGUAACUAACGUUCGUGAAGCAAUUACUUUGUAUAUUUAAUUAAAAUAUAAAUCAAGGCUUGUC
rfam:Tamlana nanhaiensis strain FHC16 contig17, whole genome shotgun sequence.